GGCGUGUCCUGGCGACUGUCGUCAUUGGGAGUCCCUCUUCGCUGUGCCGGCCCACCUGCAGCUGAUUAUCUGACCAGCUGUUGGUAAUCAUCCCUCCCGGCUAGAAAGAGGAGAGUCGAGCGAAGAAGCGAGUUGGGGAGCACACACACUAAGGGAGCUUCUGCACGGGACGCACGGGGAGCAAGGGGACGAGCACUGUUGGCAGAUUGCACUGUGGAGUGAAUCGUUGGACUUGCCUGUCUAUUUCCACUGUAAAUAAAGUGCACUGUGGCAUUGCAGA